ACAGUUCGGUCCCUAUCUGCCGUGGGCGUUGGAAGAUUGAAAGGGGCUGCUCCUAGUACGAGAGGACCGGAGUGGACGCACCACUGGUGUUCGGGUUGUCAUGCCAAUGGCAUUGCCCGGUAGCUAAGUGCGGAAGAGAUAACCGCUGAAAGCAUCUAAGCGGGAAACUUGCCUUGAGAUGAGUCUUCCCUGACCCUUUAAGGGUCCUAAAGGAACGUUUAAGACUAAGACGUUGAUAGGUUGGGUGUGUA
rnacentral:rRNA from 1 species